ACCAUAAAUAUCUUCUUCUUCUCUUUAAGUCUCAGCUAUCUUCUUAUACACACAGCUUCCCAAGCUUAUAACUUUUUCCAUCAUGGCUAUUUUGGAUUUAUGCUCUAUGACAAAGUUUUAGUUUAGUCAUUUUUGGGAACUUAUGUGAUCAUUUGUAAUCCUUUGAAAAAUGAUGUUAACUAAUAAUCUUUAGCAAGAAGAUCGAUAGGGAAAGAUAUGUUUCUUAUCAAAUAGGAAGAAGCCACAUGUACCAUUACCCCUUUUGCAACAUGAAAGCUUCUGAGAAGAAGAUGUGCUCAAGAAUGCCCUUUUCUCCAUAUUUCUACACACACACACACACAAAUAAAAACAUUGGUUAAUCAAUGAUAGUUUCUGCUAUGAUGAGUUUCUUUUAGGGCCACCGUUCUUCUUGGAAUCUGGAAUGAUAGUUGUUCUUCUACUUACUUGCUAAGGAGCAGUACAGUGUGAGUUAUCUUACAUUAUGAGAUUAAUGCUCCAUUCACCUCUCAUACAGGUCCUUGCACGAAGUGGGUCUACUUUGGACUCUAGACUCUAUAUUGACCUAAGUCUUGAAGAUCUGUAGAGCUAGCUGAUAUAGUGGUGUGUUUAGUCCUUUACAAUUUAGAUCUGAUACUUUUUUGUUACUAUGUGUUAUUACAAGUCCUUUCCUAAAGUUGGUUUGCUUUUGACCCUGGACUCUGUAUUGAGCGAAGUCUAGAAAAACUAUAGAGCUCGCUAAUAUAUUAGUGUGUGUAGUCUUUAACUGUUGACAUUUCAUCCUACCGUUUUUGUUUUACUGAUUUCUAUUUCUUGCUUUCAUUUGGAUACAAAGGUUAUGAGACUUUACAUAAUUGCCAUUUUGUCUUGAUCAUUCA